rnacentral:rRNA from 1 species
AGCAGCAGCCGCGGUAAUACGAAGGGUGCAAGCGUUAAUCGGAAUUACUGGGCGUAAAGCGCGCGUAGGUGGUUCAUUAAGUUGGAUGUGAAAGCCCUGGGCUCAACCUGGGAACUGCAUCCAAAACUGGUGAGCUAGAGUACGGUAGAGGGUAGUGGAAUUUCCUGUGUAGCGGUGAAAUGCGUAGAUAUAGGAAGGAACACCAGUGGCGAAGGCGACUACCUGGACUGAUACUGACACUGAGGUGCGAAAGCGUGGGGAGCAAACAGGAUUAGAUACCCCCGUAGUCCCUGUCUCUUAUAU